rnacentral:rRNA from 1 species
GACGAACGCUGGCGGCGUGCUUAACACAUGCAAGUCGAACGGAAAGGCCCUGCUUUUGUGGGGUGCUCGAGUGGCGAACGGGUGAGUAACACGUGAGUAACCUGCCCUUUACUUUGGUAUAACUUCUGGAAACUGGGGCUAAUACCGGAUAGUAGCUCCUGCUGCAUGGUGGGGGUUGGAAAGUUUCCGCGGUUGGGGAUGGACUCGCGGCUUAUCAGCUUGUUGGUGGGGUAGUGGCUUACCAAGGCUUUGACGGGUAGCCGGCCUGAGAGGGUGACCGGCGACAUUGGGACUGAGAGACGGCCCAGACUCGUACGGGAGGCAGCAGUGGGGAAUAUUGCACAAUGGGCGGAAGCCUGAUGCAGCAACGCCGCGUGCGGGAUGACGGCCUUCGGGUUGUAAACCGCUUUCGCCUGUGACGAAGCGUGAGUGACGGUAAUGGGUAAAGAAGCACCGGCUAACUACGUG